rnacentral:rRNA from 1 species
CCUACGGGCGGCAGCAGUGGGGAAUAUUGGACAAUGGGGGAAACCCUGAUCCAGCGACGCCGCGUGAGUGAAGAAGUAUUUCGGUAUGUAAAGCUCUGUCAGCAGGGAAGAAAGAAAUGACGGUACCUGACCAAGAAGCCCCGGCUAACUACGUGCCAGCAGCCGCGGUAAUACGUAGGGGGGAAGCGUUAUCCGGAAUUACUGGGUGUAAAGGGGGAGUCGACGGUGAUGCACGGCAGGAGUGAAAGGCGGGGGCUCAACCCCCGGACUGCUCUGGAAACUGUGUAACUUGAGUGCAGGAGAGGUAAGCGGAAUUCCUAGUGUAGCGGUGAAAUGCGUAGAUAUUAGGAGGAACACCAGUGGCGAAGGCGGCUUACUGGACUGUAACUGACGUUGAGGCUCGAAAGCGUGGGGAGCAAACAGGAUUAGAUACCCCAGUAGUC